AAAACAAACUUUGAUGGAGCGGGCAUUGAUCGAGCAAUUAGGGAGAGGCAGGAAAUGGAGACAAAGUUACAAAAAUUAGCCAAAACUAUGUAUUAUCAGGAAAGGGCAAAAAGAUGAGGCUGCUCCCUUGAUUGAAGCUGCUUUUCAGCGAUGGUCGGUGGAAGAGAAGGUGCUUCAUGAACUUGAUCAACAGGAAAAAUUCCAGGAAGAGUAUUGAACCGUUGUAAAGCAGAGUUUGACAGGCGCAGAGUAGAGAGGGAGGAAAGAAUCAACCAAAUUAUUCAGGCACGCAAACAGGAGAGGGAGGUAAUGAGAAAGAAAAUAUACUAUGCUAGGUGUGAAGAUGAAAGAAUGAAAAAGCUACGUGAGGAGGAAGGAGCUCGUAAGUGGGAAGAGGCUGAGAGACGAAGAAAAGAAGAAGCCGAACGCAAGGCAAAAUUAGACGAGAUUGCUGAAAAUCAGAGGCAAAGAGAGCGGGAAUUGGAAGAUAAGGAAAGGCUGAGAAGAGAAGCUCUCUUGGGGAGACCAGCUGAUGUGCCCUCCAAGCCUUUUGAGCUUCC